GUUCGCUGUAGUUCCUCAUCGGGAAUUUGCCAUUAUGGUUUUUUUUAUGUGUUUUUGUUUCUAAUUAAAUUGAAAUAUCUGAACUGUGACUUCUACAGAAGCGUAUAUCAUUACAACAACUUCGGAGAUAAUGUCGUGUUUGUCAAGCGGAAGAACUGCUCACACCGCCAGGAGGAGACGCGACUGCACUUUAAAAGAGAAGAUGACGAUGUUGGGAGUGUUUCUCAGCACAUGAGAACAAGAUCACUUUUUCUGCAACCCACUUUACAGCACGUGGAGGGCAGCGCUUCAUAGGCCUCUCUUCUUACUCGAUCCAUUCCUGCAGAGG